UGACAGUACUCCUACGGGGAGGCAGCAGUGGGGAAUAUUGCACAAUGGGCGCAAGCCUGAUGCAGCCAUGCCGCGUGUAUGAAGAAGGCCUUCGGGUUGUAAAGUACUUUCAGCAGUGAGGAAGGUGGGUAUGUUAAUAGCAUAUUCAUUUGACGUUAGCUGCAGAAGAAAGCACCGGCUAACUCCGUGCCAGCAGCCGCGGUAAUACGGAGGGUGCGAGCGUUAAUCGGAAUUACUGGGCGUAAAGCGCAUGCAGGUGGUUUGUUAAGUCAGAUGUGAAAGACCCGGGGCUCAACCUCGGAAUUGCAUUUGAAACUGGCAAACUAGAGUACUGUAGAGGGGGGUAGGAAUUUCAGGUGUAGCGGUGAAAUGCGUAGAGAUCUGAAGGAAUACCGGUGGCGAAGGCGGCCCCCUGGACAGAUACUGACACUCAGAUGCGAAAGCGUGGGGAGCAAACAGGAUUAGAUACCCUGGUAG
rnacentral:rRNA from 1 species